rnacentral:piRNA from 1 species
UGGAAACUGAAGCUAUUGUUACUUCAUGUGU